UUUCUUAUACCUCUGCGGGCACCUAGUUUGGGGAUCUGUUCACCCUGGACAGAGUUGGAGGAGAAGUUUGACAGUGCAGCACCUGUUGUCUGUGGUCAGCAAUGAGGAGAAACGAAGUCCUGAUUCCCUCUACACACAGCCUUGUCACUAGUGAGAAGGAAAACGUAGCCCCUAGUGUCCAAAGCCGGUCCAUACCGCGGCCAGAGUGCGGUCCUCUUUACAGGCUGGGCCGGGGCUGAGAGCCCAGUGAGCCAAAGCCUCUGCACAACCUCGAAGCACAGCACCGGGCGAGCUGCCCUGAGACCGCGACCAAAGCAAGCAAACAGGCCGCUCCCAGCCGACCAAACCAGGCACUGCCCUCCCGCACAGCACCCUGUCGGGGAAUUCCCCUACAGUUUUUGAAAUUUUUUCCCUGUUUUAGGAGGGCCAUGAGCCAAGGUUUUCACUUCGCUCUUGCUGGCACGUGAAGCGCUUUUCAGCGCCGUCCGCGCUGAGCCUGGGGUUUCGCUGUGAUCUGCACCGUUUGCCUCCGCUCACUUUCUGGGGUUGCUCAGUCGUGCAGAGGCCCGCCCGUCCCCCCGUGUCUCGGGGCCAGCCUUGAUCACACUCGGCUCUUUGAUCACAGCCAUCGACCCGGUGUGCAGCGUCAGGGCCCCUGCCAGGGUGACACACACGGGCUCGCACAGUCCGACGCAGACACACAACGCUGGGCUUGGCGCUGCUCUGGCCUCGGCAGCGUCUCCAGUGCCCCUGCUAGGUCGUCCUGGGUGAGAGUGAUCCUCAGCACUGCCCGGGGAGCAACGCGCCCAUCACACCUGCAGCAGCGGCGCCUCGCUCGGCCGUGUGUGUGUGUGUGUGUGUGUGUGUGUGUGUGUGUGUGUGGUGGGUGAAGCUCAAUCUCAGCUGCACGGAGCCUCCGCCUUCCGGCGCCUUGUGACGCAGUGGCAGCAGGGAAAGGGCGGCUCCAGUCUCUGCAGCGUGCGAUGUGCAGCCCUCCCGCCAGCCACCCCACAGCAGCGUGAGCGCUGUAAGUUCCUGACACGCCCCUCCCGGGACAGUCCUGCUUCCAGGGCGCUGCGCAUCCUCUGAGAGUGAGACACCCAACGGCCUCCUGCAAUUCUCAAGGGAAAUGGAAAGAGCAUAGUGGCGAAGCGUCCUCGAGCACGGCGAGGAGUAGCGCUGCAAGCCUCCCGCCAAUCGGCGCCGUCUUCCGUCCGCAGGAGCCCCUGCGGAGGCUUUACCGACCAGAGGGACGUGGAGAGCAAAGUCUCCCGGUGUGGCCUCCCUUUCCCCGGCCAGCAGGCUGGGGCGUUGCCGGGAGGUGAGGAGCCGCUCCUGACGCAGGCGUAUCAGGAGGAGGCCCUGGGUGUCCCACCGUUGUCUGCAGGCUCAGUAAUUCGCUAGCACCUUUUGCAUUCCUGCCUCACCCUUACCACUCUCGAAGUCACACACUGCAGGCGCCUGCCUUUCCCCACCAGAAGGCGGAUUUCAAGAGGCCAGGGCAGCCCUGUGCUCCGCUCUGCCUCCCGGGACCUGGAGCACUGUCACAGAGCCAAACCGAGUCACCCCAGCACCACAGGCCCCCUCCCGCCUUCCUCUGCCUGCAGCCGCUCUCACUCCAGUACCACACAGCUGCCUGAACUGUUUCUCUCAGACAAAGAGUGCUGAGCUGCAGCAUGCCCAGUGGUCCCAGACCCACGCCUGCCUCCAGCAGCCAGGCCCCAGCGACAAGGGCAGCACCUUCUUUUCUUCCUGAGCGCAAAAGCCCUCGCCCUCCAGUGCCGGACGAUGGAAAUGCCCAGACCCAAGGUGCUCUCUGGUCCUCCUCGCCCUGCACCUCUGGGGCCUCUGUCAUCCGCGUGAACCCCUCGCCACACCUGACUGGUCAGCUUGAGUCUCCCGGUGGGUGAAUACGGUCUUUCCCAAGAGGCUGUGUCUCAAGUGCAGGAAAAUGUUCCUUUUUGUCCCACCUUAUAGAGUUCUAGUGAGGAAUGAGUUCAUGCACGCAAAGCAGUGCUUUGACACACAAAAAACACCAUAUAAAUAUGUGCUAUCA